CUGGCGGCGUGCUUAACACAUGCAAGUCGAACGAUGAAGCCCAGCUUGCUGGGUGGAUUAGUGGCGAACGGGUGAGUAACACGUGAGCAACCUGCCCCUGACUCUGGGAUAAGCGCUGGAAACGGCGUCUAAUACUGGAUACGAACAGCGACCGCAUGGUCAGUUGUUGGAAAGAUUUAUUGGUUGGGGAUGGGCUCGCGGCCUAUCAGCUUGUUGGUGAGGUAAUGGCUCACCAAGGCGUCGACGGGUAGCCGGCCUGAGAGGGUGACCGGCCACACUGGGACUGAGACACGGCCCAGACUCCUACGGGAGGCAGCAGUGGGGAAUAUUGCACAAUGGGCGCAAGCCUGAUGCAGCAACGCCGCGUGAGGGAUGACGGCCUUCGGGUUGUAAACCUCUUUUAGCAGGGAAGAAGCGAGAGUGACGGUACCUGCAGAAAAAGCACCGGCUAACUACGUGCCAGCAGCCGCGGUAAUACGUAGGGUGCAAGCGUUAUCCGGAAUUAUUGGGCGUAAAGAGCUCGUAGGCGGUUUGUCGCGUCUGCUGUGAAAUCUGGGGGCUCAACCCCCAGCCUGCAGUGGGUACGGGCAGACUAGAGUGCGGUAGGGGAGAUUGGAAUUCCUGGUGUAGCGGUGGAAUGCGCAGAUAUCAGGAGGAACACCGAUGGCGAAGGCAGAUCUCUGGGCCGUAACUGACGCUGAGGAGCGAAAGGGUGGGGAGCAAACAGGCUUAGAUACCCUGGUAGUCCACCCCGUAAACGUUGGGAACUAGUUGUGGGGUCCAUUCCACGGAUUCCGUGACGCAGCUAACGCAUUAAGUUCCCCGCCUGGGGAGUACGGCCGCAAGGCUAAAACUCAAAGGAAUUGACGGGGACCCGCACAAGCGGCGGAGCAUGCGGAUUAAUUCGAUGCAACGCGAAGAACCUUACCAAGGCUUGACAUAUACGAGAACGGGCCAGAA
rnacentral:rRNA from 1 species